ACGCUGGCGGCAGGCCUAACACAUGCAAGUCGAGCGGAUGAAGAGAGCUUGCUCUCUGAUUCAGCGGCGGACGGGUGAGUAAUGCCUAGGAAUCUGCCUGGUAGUGGGGGACAACGUCUCGAAAGGGACGCUAAUACCGCAUACGUCCUACGGGAGAAAGCAGGAGACCUUCGGGCCUUGCGCUAUCAGAUGAGCCUAGGUCGGAUUAGCUAGUUGGUGAGGUAAUGGCUCACCAAGGCGACGAUCCGUAACUGGUCUGAGAGGAUGAUCAGUCACACUGGAACUGAGACACGGUCCAGACUCCUACGGGAGGCAGCAGUGGGGAAUAUUGGACAAUGGGCGAAAGCCUGAUCCAGCCAUGCCGCGUGUGUGAAGAAGGUCUUCGGAUUGUAAAGCACUUUAAGUUGGGAGGAAGGGCAGUAAGCGAAUACCUUGCUGUUUUGACGUUACCGACAGAAUAAGCACCGGCUAACUCUGUGCCAGCAGCCGCGGUAAUACAGAGGGUGCAAGCGUUAAUCGGAAUUACUGGGCGUAAAGCGCGCGUAGGUGGUUUGCUAAGUUGAAUGUGAAAUCCCCGGGCUCAACCUGGGAACUGCAUCCAAAACUGGCAAGCUAGAGUAGGGCAGAGGGUGGUGGAAUUUCCUGUGUAGCGGUGAAAUGCGUAGAUAUAGGAAGGAACACCAGUGGCGAAGGCGACCACCUGGGCUCAUACUGACACUGAGGUGCGAAAGCGUGGGGAGCAAAC
rnacentral:rRNA from 1 species